UACGGGGGGAGCAAGCGUUGUUCGGAUUUACUGGGCGUAAAGGGCGCGUAGGCGGCCAGCACAAGUCAGUUGUGAAAUCUCCGAGCUUAACUCGGAAAGGUCAACUGAUACUGUGCGGCUAGAGUGCGGAAGGGGCAACUGGAAUUCUCGGUGUAGCGGUGAAAUGCGUAGAUAUCGAGAGGAACACCUGCGGCGAAGGCGGGUUGCUGGGCCGACACUGACGCUGAUGCGCGAAAGCCAGGGGAGCGAACGGG
rnacentral:rRNA from 1 species